rnacentral:misc_RNA from 1 species
CGCGAUGUCAAUAAUGAGACCAUCAUCUAUAACACAACCCACUUCCUACCAUAGUUUCCCCUCAAUCUGAGUUGAACCACUUGAGCAACCAACAAGAGAACGACAAAAAUCAUGUCCCAACAACAACAAUUAGUUUGAGCCUUUUAUAAGAGCAGCCCAUCAAAUCAACUAAACACUACCAAGGAUACUUUCAUAUUUCAAGCACCUCAUCACUAACUAUAAAUCCACUCACACAUACAAUUCCAACAAGUAAUUAAAGCAUAUAAAACAGGGGGGGGGG